rfam:Pan troglodytes isolate Yerkes chimp pedigree #C0471 (Clint) chromosome 14, whole genome shotgun sequence.
UCUUAGGUUGGUGCAAAAGUAAUUGCGGUUUUUGCCAUUAAAAGUAAUGGCAAAAACGGCAAUUACUUUUGCACCAACUAAAUA